ACGUUUCUCUUUUAUACUUCGACUGACCCAUCCAAGAACUCAUCUCGCCUCCCCUCUUAUAUCAUCAGUCCUCUUAUCGGUCGCCAAGAACCUAGUUCUCUGCGACAACAAGAGGAGAGAACCCAUCUCCGAUCAACCAUUAAUCCCUUGGAUGGCGGCGUCAUCGGACGCGUAUUCCAAGAUUGGCGACAUCCUUGUAAACCAGCGUAUCCUCAAGAUCGUGGAGGAGGCAGUCUGCUGUCGGAAGUUCAGGUUAAUUCCGGAUAUGUUGAACAGAUUAUUUUGGAGGAGAUAUGGGCAAAGAAUGAGAUCCAAUUGCUGUUCGUGAUUUGACAACUUCCUCGAUCUUCUUGGUUACCGACCGCAAGUAAAAAAUCCUGUCCUAACAAUCCAUAUGUCAUCCAUAGACAACUGGAAAGGAAGGAGAAGAAUGAUAGGAAAGUUCUCCCAUCCACGGCUUACUAUCGGCAGACCAUACCAAGUAUAUAAAAGGCAAUUCAGCAAAGCAGUGAUGUAUGGGAUGCAUGAAAACUCUUCUGUGCUCCUCUUCCUUAUUACCCUCUGAAAAGUUAAUCUGAAAACAGAACAUGAAAGGUCUUUAGUAGCAGUGUUGAAUUGCUAUUUUAUUUAGGAAAGUGAGAUACAUCUGAGUACAUGGGUGCUGCAUAAAGGAGCAGAGAAGCUGCAUUCCCUGCAAAACCAAUGGGAGCUCAGGUGUUCAACAUCAUACAACUAAAGACUUGCAAAAUGUGGAUAACCAGAGAUACUAUCUUGUGCAUGUCACAAAUAUCUAUGGCAGGCUCGGGUGGGGCCGACGUGACGAAAGGGGUGCCUGCGCCUUUGUGGGGCUCGUAGCAUAUUGAUGGUUUUGUCCAUGCACGAGUUGGAUUCAGCCAACCUCUUGUGCUUAUUUAACUAAUCAAACCAGUUUCCAUGAUGAGCCUUAUGAAUCAAAACACUCCCAUUAAUUUUUGUGGUUGUUUGUAUGAUCUUUAUCUUUUCAACAUGGAGGUGCGAGACAACACUUCUCAGGCUCUUUAAAGCUCCAGAAAGGAGCCAAUAAGCACUUCAUUUGGAUCCACAUCAUGCCACUAAUUUAAGAUAAGUGAU